ensembl:lncRNA
AUAUGUCAACAUGAUCAGAGGGGAGGGAGCAGGGAGGGAGGAGGGAAGCGCCCGCCUCUAGGGGGGUGCAGGGGGCCGCCUCGCCCCCCGGCCCCGGCCUCCCGCCGCCCCGGCCGCCCGGGCACUGCCCGGCCGCUCUCCCCCGGUAGGAGCUUCCCGAGCGCCGGCAGCGGGGGGGGCUCCACGCGUGGCGGUGGGGGGGUCCGAAUCUGCGUGCCCCCCUUCCCCAAACGCCGCCGGUACCGCAGCGGGGUCCCCCUGUGUCCCCCCCGGCCCGGAGGCACCUCGGGAGGCCGCCGCGCCGCACGCCCAUCCCCGCCGCGCCGCGGCUGCCGCCGGUCCCCGCAGCCGCCGGGCCGGUGUCACCCCCCUGCCGCUGCCCCCGCGCCGUUUUCCCCUCCCCGGCAAAGUUGCUUUCUUUCAACGACCCCUCCAGGCCGGGAGCCGGGCGCUUUCCUUCCCCCCGCGAAUCUGGGGGCCACUCGGCUGGCACCGGCGCCGACAGGGUUACGCUCCCACACCCCUCCUCUUCCACGAGGUGCGCGGGGAGGAGACGGGAAGUGCGGCUUUCCCUGCGCCCGGGCCGGGGCAGCGCCGGGCGGGGGGGCCCAGCUCCGCGCUAACCCGGGCUCGCAUGGAGCCAGCCACCCCCCCGGGGAGGCCGCCACCCGGGGGCUGAUCCCACCCCACGGGGAGGGAAGAGAGGCGGACAGGCCUCCUGGGAGGUGUCUGGGGGGAGAUAUUUCCUUGGGGGGGGGGGGGGGUGUGUGUUGCUGGGAAUGGGUGUGUGACAGUGCAGGGCAGCGAGAGGGGGCUUGUGACUGUGCGUGUCGUGGGCAUGCAGGGCACGCGUGUCAGGCAGGGUAUCCCAGCGCUGGGAGGGGCCGAAUCGCCCUGGGGAGGGAGGGGGGAAUCUCCUGACGCCCCCCACCCUGCUUUAAACAGGGCAGGAUAAUCCGCCGGGAGCGGAGCGGGGGAGCGCGGGGGCUCGGCGCUGGCUGCGCGCAGAUGGGAGCGGAACCUCUAAAGUGAUUAGCUCUUCUAACAUUGCAUUUUUGACGCACAUGGUUAAGAGCGCUUGGCGCCAGCUUGGUGAAGUCCCUGUAGUAACCAGCGUCUAGGAUCGCUUUGCAUUCACCAAAAUAUCUCCCCUUUAGUCGGGGGUGGGGGUGAAAAGAGGAGGAGGGAGGAAAAGAAGCGGGAGUAAUGCGUUCAAAGAGGAUGAGGGGGGGGAAGUCUGAUGUGUUUCCCGAAGCCAGGAGCCUGGUUACCAGCGCAGCGCUCGGCUGCGCUGUGCGGCUGCUUAUCGACCAAGAGAGCGAGUCUUCCCAGCCUCUGCUCGGAACCGGUUCUCGGGCUCCUGCCGCGGUGGGAACCCCCAAAGCCUAUGCCUUCCCUUUAUCAGCGUCCCCAGCAAACGCCCGGCGGCCUCAAGAAGUUUGCUGCGAUUUACCCCAAGCGGGCCGCCGCUCUCUCACGGUGACCGAGAGGUGCCCGCGGGACAAGCGCUGCCGCCCCCGGCGCCGCGGCACAAACCGGAGUCGCUGCCGCCCUCCGCGCCCGCCCCGCACCUUGCGCCG